CGGCAAUGAUUUGAAUGAUUUAUCCGCGCUUCUGAGAGUAAUCAAUGAAGUAAAGGAUUUAAAAUGGUUGAAUUUCUUAAUAUGAGCCGACUAUUUUUUUCAUGUAAAUAUGCAGUGAUGAUUGAAUACACAGCUUUAAGCCAGUUCUGCUUCAGAAAAUUCAUGAUUGAUAGAGCUGUUAUUUACUCUGAGCUCAACUAAAUGUGUUUUUUUUAAUUGGUUUUCCGGUGAUGAUAUAAUCCGAUUGUAUGAGGGUACGUGGAUCCAAGACCCUGUUUACAGGGAGAACCACUUGGUUGAAGCUGUAUUUCAAUGAUAUUACUGGAUUUUACUGAGGAUUAUUAAUUUUAAUUAUUAUUAUUAUUGAGUUUAAACUAUACUUUUUACCCUGGAUUAUUUAACGGGUUUGGAGUCUGAAAAAACUCAGAAAGUAUUGUGUUGUCAUCAGCUUCUUCUUUCGUAACAUUCACGAGACUGGAGUUAAAUAACAGCACUAAAUUG
rnacentral:lncRNA from 1 species